CAGACUCCGCCCACUGGGAGGAGACCAGCACAGCCUCCAUCAAUGGGCUGCAGGAGCACACACCGAUUGGCCAAUCAGACACAGCUGUGGGCGUCUCCCAGGGCAACAGGGAGCUCUGAAACGUGUGGAGGAGAGAGAGAGAGAGGAAAAAGAGAGGGACGACAGAGAGAGUGAGAGAGAAAGAGAGAGAGAGAGGAGAGAGAGAGGAGAGAGAGAGGAGAGAGAGGAGGAGGCAGAUGGACGGAGAACAGAUCAGCACAAGGCAGCUGUGAUGGUCUUCACCUGUCACCUGGCUCCACCCACCCACAGCCUCCACCUGACCUGUCACUUGGCUCCGCCUACCGACAUGAGGUCCAUCAGCUCAGGGAUGCAGCUGUUGGCCCCGCCCUCUACAGGCUCCGCCUCCAGCAGCAGCAGCGUCGAUGACGACCCCCAGAGUUUGGCUCGCAGAGCGCGUGGACAGUCUGCUGACCUGUGACCCCUGUGAAGGCCCCGCCCCAGGUCGCCUGCGGAGGCGGAGCUUGUGAGGGGCAGCUUCCUGCCGCUGUCUGAGAGGGUGGAGCUAAACCGCAGCAUCCUGCAACAGCUCUUGAGGUCACAUGGCACCUCCAACCAAUCAGAGCGCAGAGACACAGGUUUUUCUUUGAAUGAAUGUGAUUCAGAAAUUCAACAAAAGAAACACAGUGUCUUUGUGUCCUCUCCGUUGCCGCGGCAGCAGCAGUGUGAGGACGGAGCUCGUAUGAAGCGUCGCUCCGAACCUCUGAGAGGACCACAACCUGCUGACCCCCGACGGACACGGCCUGUCGGGGGUCAGGCUCUGUCCGGUCGUCCAGGUGAGGUCAGAGGGCGGGGCUCUGCUGGGACACUUCAGUGACUCGUCC